rnacentral:rRNA from 1 species
UUCAUUUAGAGGAAGUAAAAGUCGUAACAAGGUCUCCGUAGGUGAACCUGCGGAGGGAUCAUUA